CCAAAACAAAACGAGAGGGACCAAUG
rnacentral:piRNA from 1 species